rnacentral:lncRNA from 1 species
GUAUAGUGUAGUACAAUCCCUUCACAAAUACAUUAAGCCAGUUUUAUGAAUAUCAUAAAAUCAUUUUUGUGAACACUGUAACAAAAAAAACUACCUUAUUUUUUAUUGUGUGAAAAAGAAAUACCGCAAACUCUACGAAAAAGAUGUGCGAAAAUAAUAAAUAAAUUUCCUGUGGUCUUCUAAGAUUAUGUUGCUUUCCAUAACACGAAUCAGCUAUUAAGUCGCAAAACCUGAGUCUGCAAAAGUGCUGGUAUCAGAUUACCUGUCUUCCCCUGAAUUAACAAGCGUUUCAAGAGUUUCAUAAUAUAUACCAAAUGCAUUGUCUUGUUGAAUAC